AUUGAACGCUGGCGGAAUGCUUUACACAUGCAAGUCGAACGGCAGCACGGACUUCGGUCUGGUGGCGAGUGGCGAACGGGUGAGUAAUGUAUCGGAACGUGCCCAGUCGUGGGGGAUAACGUAGUGAAAAUUACGCUAAUACCGCAUACGAUCUAUGGAUGAAAGCGGGGGAUCGCAAGACCUCGCGCGAUUGGCGCGGCCGAUAUCAGAUUAGGUAGUUGGUGGGGUAAAGGCCCACCAAGCCAACGAUCUGUAGCUGGUCUGAGAGGACGACCAGCCACACUGGAACUGAGACACGGUCCAGACUCCUACGGGAGGCAGCAGUGGGGAAUUUUGGACAAUGGGCGAAAGCCUGAUCCAGCCAUUCCGCGUGCAGGAUGAAGGCCCUCGGGUUGUAAACUGCUUUUGUACGGAACGAAAAGGUUUCUACUAAUACUAGGAGCUCAUGACGGUACUGUAAGAAUAAGCACCGGCUAACUACGUGCCAGCAGCCGCGGUAA
rnacentral:rRNA from 1 species